UACGAAGGGGGCUAGCGUUGCUCGGAAUCACUGGGCGUAAAGCGCACGUAGGCGGAUUGUUAAGUCAGGGGUGAAAUCCUGGAGCUCAACUCCAGAACUGCCUUUGAUACUGGCGAUCUCGAGUCCGGGAGAGGUGAGUGGAACUGCGAGUGUAGAGGUGAAAUUCGUAGAUAUUCGCAAGAACACCAGUGGCGAAGGCGGCUCACUGGCCCGGUACUGACACUGAGGUGCGAAAGCGUGGGGAGCAAACAGGG
rnacentral:rRNA from 1 species